UUUAAGCUUCCUACGGGAGGCUGCAGUGGGGAAUCUUGCGCAAUGGGCGAAAGCCUGACGCAGCCAUGCCGCGUGAAUGAUGAAGGUCUUAGGAUUGUAAAAUUCUUUCACCGGGGACGAUAAUGACGGUACCCGGAGAAGAAGCCCCGGCUAACUUCGUGCCAGCAGCCGCGGUAAUACGAAGGGGGCUAGCGUUGCUCGGAAUUACUGGGCGUAAAGGGAGCGUAGGCGGACAUUUAAGUCAGGGGUGAAAUCCCGGGGCUCAACCUCGGAAUUGCCUUUGAUACUGGGUGUCUUGAGUAUGAGAGAGGUGUGUGGAACUCCGAGUGUAGAGGUGAAAUUCGUAGAUAUUCGGAAGAACACCAGUGGCGAAGGCGACACACUGGCUCAUUACUGACGCUGAGGCUCGAAAGCGUGGGGAGCAAACAGGAUUAGAUACCCUUGUAGUA
rnacentral:rRNA from 1 species